CUCGGGUCCGGCUGCGGGCCACAGGCCGCGGAUCGCGCUCUGCCAGCACCCCACGCCCGCAAGCGCGGCCCCUCCGCCACCUCGCGGCCCGGCCUGACCUGUUAAUCACGUCCCCACGGCUCUCCUAGCGGGGACACCGCCGUCUGCAGGCUCCGUCCCCACAGUGCCCAGACCCCGGGAAGUUUGUCAGUCAGCACCCUGAUGCCAGCCGAUUCUCAAAAAGCCAGGAGCAUCCAAGCAGAUGAUUUGCCAGACGGUACUGCAGCAAUGGAGAUGAACAGAUAAUUCACACAGAAAGAAGGACGAGUCUCGCUCUGUGGACAGGCUGGAGUGCAGUUGCAAGAUCUUGGCUCACUGCAACCUCUGCCUCCCGG
rnacentral:lncRNA from 1 species